UACAGAGGGGGCAAGCGUUAUUCGGAAUUAUUGGGCGUAAAGGGCGCGUAGGCGGCGAUUCAAGUGACGGGUGAAAUCCCUCGGCUUAACCGAGGAACUGCCUGUCAGACUGGAUUGCUUGAGGCCGGGAGAGGCGAGUGGAAUUCCCAGUGUAGCGGUGAAAUGCGUAGAUAUCUGGAGGAAUACCGGUGGCGAAGGCGGCAUCCUGGACCGGCAUUGACGCUGAGGAGCGAAAGCCAGGGGAGCAAACGGG
rnacentral:rRNA from 1 species